UUUUUUUCAUUUUAUAUUUAAUAAAAUCCAGAUUAUAAUGAAAACCCCCAGCUAGUUUUUAGAACAAUUAAUUUUCUAAAUAAACUGUAUACCACAAACAAUUUCAUGUUUGACUUUUGCUGUAUGGUCACAGACUUUUUUUUUUGUUUGUUUAAAAAAUAUUUUUUAACUUCAUUAAAUGAGCUUUUUUUUGCCUAAAUAAUACUUCCAAAGCCAUAGUCACUUUUUAUCAUGUUGUGCUCUGAAAUAAUUUUCUUCUCAGUACUUACAUCUAUGGGUGGCAGAUGGCUCAUAGGUUAGGUGCCUAAAAUGGACAGGACCAAAUUAACACAUUUGGCUGGAACUUACCUCAGGAAGCCAAGCUUGGUGGUGGGCAGCUGGACAUCAAAUUUAUCAAAAACCCAACAACAGCUGAAGCCAAGAUUAUUCUCUAAAGACACAAAUGUUCAAUUUUUAAAGAGAUUCUUAUUAUCUAGAACACUACUUAACGCUCAGCCUUACUUAUCACUUACAUUCUGAGCACUUAAUUGUUUAUAAACUUUUCUACCUAAGCAGAUAGAAAAAAUAAGAAGCUGAUAAUCAAAAUAGUUAGUGUUCACAUGAAAGUUAUAUAGAAUGUAAUUAACAUAAAAAUAGGAAAGAUCAAGCAAGAAUUUUUAAAUCUUUCCAUUCAUACAACAAAAACAAUGAAUGUAAAACAGAGAAACAGAACUGGCCAUGAGCUAGAUAGAAAGUAAUAUAAUAAUUUCCACUUCCUGAAACGUAAAACUUCUUUACUUGAAUAAGACUUAGGAAGCCACCAUUUUAAAAGCUGAAAGGAAAGAGUUUUUAAAAGAGAGGCCUUGGUAUGUGGCAAGUGUACCGUAGAGACUAAGUAUCAUCAUGGAACAGUUAGAGACUAUUACAGAAGACAAGCCAAUUAAGGUAGGUAAUCAGGAAGCCAAUGGAAAUACGGGCAGAAGAAAUGGUAGGAGGGAAUUCAAGGUGAAUAGUCAUAGCCAAAGGCAUGGAAAUCAGCAUAAUUCUGAUGGAGGGACUAAAUCUUGCAUCUUUCUGAUUACACUGUUGAGAAAGUCAAAUGACAUAAAAAUUCUAAAGCUAUUAAUUGCAGUCAAAUGUUCAGAUCCUUUUCUGCUAAUUUCUUGGGGAAGCAGAAGACAAGGAGGGCAUAUUGUGAAAGCAAGGUGUGAUUCAUAAGAAUGAGUGAACACAAAUUCAGUGUUUAUGGAGCUAAAUAUAUUUUUGUCCUGUUGAUUUUCAAAAAACAUUUCCAAAAUUCACUCAGUCUUUCCAUAUGCUUAGAAGAUCAUUUUGAUGUUGUUUUUGUUCUUCCAACAACAAAAAAUACACAUGACCCUUACAUGGUGAUAAAUCAGUGUGUAAAAAUUCUUAAUAAAAAGUUUCAUAUUAGGUAUUAUGAAGACAGUCAUCAAUAUAAUUCACAAAAUAAAUACUUCUACUUACAAUCACUCUCUAAGUUAGCACUAUUAAAGCACCUUCCUAUGAGAAAGUAUCCAGCUAUAUUAUAUUAUAGAGAAGAAUGAGUGAAAGUGAAAUGUUUCGAACAUCAAUAAAUGUGGUCAAUUCAAAAGUUAAACAUAUUGUUCAUACAGUGGCAAGAUGUGUUUUUUAGUGAAACCUUUUAAAAGUAUGUUUUAAUCAUAUAAAUGUUUGUUUUCAAAGAGACAAUUAUUUCCUAAUAAUACAUAAUUGAAGAAUAACUUGGAAUUUCACAAGCUUUCAUAAUCCUCCCCAGUAAAGAAACUAUCCUUGCCAUCACAGAGAGGGAAUCCAGUCUUAAUGACUACCUGAAUUCACAGAAGCACAUAAGCACAAAGGUCAGGACUAGAGAAGGCACCCUCUCUUUAGCAAAGCCUCACCUUCUCCACAAAUAAAAUCCUCCUUCCUCACACUCACAAAGUACCCCUGCUUACCUUAGCAUUUCUAUAUUUACUCUGAAAAGUCUGGAGUAAUGUCAUAGAGGAAUAGUCAAUGGAAACAGAAUUCCAACGCGUUAGGUGUUGAGAUAAACAAACUGAGGUCCAAAAAUUGUGCUUUGUACAAAGUUUCAUGACUGGUUUCUUGAAAAACUUAGAAUAUAAUGCAGAAUAGAGAUAUUUUAAAAUCUUAUGAGAAAUAGACUCUGAAUAAAAAGUUAUCAAACUUGGAAACCUAACAAACUAUGAGUGUUCUUCUACAUAAUGCAUUCUUGAAACAUGCUGUUUAAGUAUCUUAAGAAUGACUAUAUUUCCAUUAGUCAAAUAAAAGUCCUCCCUAUUUUAUAAUAUCGUUUUUCUUUAAAAUGCAAAAAUCUGAAAUAGAAUUACUUCUAUAGAAAUCAUAACACUAAAUAGCAAGUGAUGCAUAUUUGCUAAACAUUAACAAAACAAAUUACAAUGACUCUGAUAUUGCUUUCUCAUUCCUCCAAAAAAAAGUAAUGAUUAGUUUACCAAUUAAGGCUUCAAUACAGUUUAUUAAAUGAACUAUCUUUUUUCAUUUCUGAUGCAUUCAGUCUAUACGUUAAAAGUAUCAGAGAGUAAAUUAGCAACACAAAUCAGCAACAUCCCCAUCUCUCAACAGUUUGACAGCUUUGGUUACAUUCCCCAAGGAUAAUCUCAGCACCAAGAUAGUGAUUUUCACCACUGCACUUUUUCUGACUAAUUAUCAGUGCAGACCCUCCAGUUGAUCAGUUCAUUCUCAUGUAAGAGUGUCCUGUAGUUUAAAUUAAUUAUGCUGAUAAAUGACAACAUUUCAGCUGCCUGACAACUGCUUUAAUUAAAAAUAUUUUUGGCAAAGAUUAGAGUACUAUUGCAUGCUUAAGUAUACCAAGUUGGCUACUAAAGUUUCUGUCUUCCAAGAACUCAGGUUUCAUUGAUGUAUGCAUUCAACAUUUUCUAAUUUGGAGUAGGAGGUUCCUCUUUAAUAACAUUUAUUUUGAGAUCUAUAUAAGUGUGAAUGACCCUGUAAAGAAAACUGGUUAGGAAAGAUGUCAAAUUCAUUGACUUCUUUUCCUAAUGUAUGGGCCAGGUUAUUUGAGAGGUAAUGAAGGGAGGUGGGAAAAUGGAGGAUGCUAUUUAAAAUGGGGUUAGGAAAGUUCUCUCUGACAAAGUUCCUUGGGUAUCUGCAUGAAGCAGUUUAUGCAUGGUACAUAUAAAUACAAAUGCAUUGAAUUUGUGCUCUUCAUAUAUAAUACUUUAUGUAAAAUUCAUAAAUUGCCCAUGAGGUAGGUUCUAUUAUUACCAUUCUUAUUCCUGUGUAAAUAAAUGCAAGGUUACCACAAUUAAGUUACCUGUAACUUCACCAAUGUUAUAUAGGUAGUGUAUUAAAAUGUGAAUAAAAGAUGAUUCUUUAAAAUAAUGCCACUUGCAGCAACAUGGAUGCAACUAGAGAGUAUACUAAAUAAAGUCAGCCAGGGAAUGACAAAUACCUUAUGAUAUCACUUAUAUGUAGAAUCUAAAAUAUGGCACAAAUGAAUCUGUAUACAAAAUAGAAACAGACUCAGACAUGGAGAACAGACAGGUGAGUGCCAAAGAGGAGGGUGGGGGAGGGAUGGACUGGGAGUUUAGGGGUAGUAGAUGCAAACUGUUAGAUUGAGGAUGGAUAUAGCACAGGGAACUAUAUCCAAUCUCCUGGAAUAACCAUAAGGGGAAAGAAUUUUUUAAAAAGAAUGUAUAUGUACAUACAUGUGUAUGUAUACAAACACACAAACACACGCAUAUAUAUAAAACAAGUCACUUUGCUAUAUAGUAGAAAAUAGCAUUACACUGUAAAUCAACAAUAAUGAAAUAAAACACUUGAGACACAGAGACUAAUACAGAGCGAUAACAGAGACAAAAACAGCUGACAAAGUACAUUUGAGAUAUAAUUUGUUUUCAUCUAAAGAUAGUUUAUUUCUAGGUUUAACAUAGUAUAUCCAAGAUUAGUUAAGUAAACGGCAUUAUGUAAAGGUAUGAAUGAUUAUUACAAUUAUUAUUAACACCAUGUUAUAGACUAUAAUUUUUUCAAUGGCUUUAAAAACUAUGCAUUUCAAUUUAUUUUGCAGAAUUCUAACUGAUGUGCAUUGACUAAGAGAAUGCCCAUGCUUUUAAACACAUGCUGGGGGUAGCAGUUGAGGUUGUCAGACCAGAAUCUAUAUCAUAUAGUCAAAAAAAAAAAAAAAACAUUUAAACAAAAAGGGCAUUAUUCAUUCUUUUUAGGAAUUCUUUAUGUUCUUGCUUAUGAUAAAAAAAAGGAAUCAAUAAUAUGAUUUUGUCAGGAAAUGUUUUAAAUAUUUUAAUAUAUUUUGCUUACUAAGGAAACAAAUUGGUAAUACAUUUUAGAAAGUAUUAAUUAAAAUUAUUUAAAAAGAAAACCGGGGUUUUAAGACAACCUUAAAUUAUCUUAAAAAUUAUGUAUAUUAAAAUUACUACUCAUUAUUAUAAUUGUCAGGUGUCAUAUAUAUACUUCUUCAUAUAAUUCUCACAACAGCCUUGCAGAAAUGUCUGUUAUUUACAGAUGAAUGAACUGAAAAACAGAACAGUAACUACUAAAGUUCUCAUGAAUAAAUGACUGAACUUUUUUUGAACUCAGGAUUGCCUGGUAAAAGUGACUGUAAAUUAUUAUUCACAUCACACUGUCCAUUUCUCAUCAGAACUAGAAUAAAAAAUGCAGUUUUAUUUUUAAAUAAACACAGUUUACAAUUAUGUUUUUCAUAACAGCUUACGAUUGUCAUAUCUAAAAUGUAAAUCAAACUAUUUUAUUUAAACAUGAGUUUACACUAGCACUAUAUUUGGAAUGUAUCUUGUUAGCAUGUUUAUUUUUUAAAAAUAAAAAUCACUUUUAAUACAGUUAAAAUUACUUCUCACCUUAUGAAAUAUUGACCUUAUAAAACAAAUUAUUCAUCAUAAUAAUUCGGGAGUAUUUGCAGAGUAUUUUUGUGAACAGCUUUGCAGAGUAUUUUUGUGAACAGAAACAGGAGACUAAAAAAUUAGGAAAAUAUAUAGUUAAGAAACUAGAACUAUUCCUAAAUAUUUGUGAUUUACUAAUUUACUAAUCAGGUAUAUGUUCAAUAUCAAUUAAUAGGCAUCUAGAAUUUUUUUUUUUAACUUAGGGGCUCUAUUUAAAUUUUAAUAGAUUGUAAUUUUUCUUUUCAGUUUAUCUUGGUUAAUAAUUUUUAUUUAUUUUUAAGAACUAGUCAUUUCAUGUAGCUAUUUAUUGUAAGACAUAAGAAAAUCAAAUCUUGAGCAGGACAAUUACUCUUCCCAAUAAUUAGCGUCAAAUCUAACCCAAAUAAACUCCCAAUUUUGACUUAAAAUGAUUGGUCUUUGAUGAUUCUGAAAGAGAGUAUGUUUUUGAGGAUUUAUAGAAUACAUUAAGAUGAACUUAAUUAUCAAGGAAUUGACUCGGCAAGGAAAAUAUAUUAUAGAAUAAAAGUCUUAGGAAGACAAAGUUUAGAAAAAAAUAAUUUAUGGACUAAAUGUAAACUAAAUAGUUAUAAAAAUUUUUAGAGUAGAAAUAAAUGAAUAACUCAUCUUCAAAAUAUCUAUUGGCUUAAUCAGAACCUAAGCUUCCAUGGAAAUGGGUAUUUAUGUUAUGGAUAUAUAAUUACAAAUCAUGGAUUUUUUGUAUUAUUCAAAAGGGAACUAUAUUGUUAGAAUAGGAAAAUCGUAGACAUAUUACAAAAUAUUAUUUUACUACCAGAGAUCUUUUAAAAAAUAAGAACAUCAAGAAUAAACGCCUAUAAAAAUAAGAGGUCAAGCAAAAACCUAAGUAUAAAAAAGUCACAUUUUACAAAUGACAUAUGUGCCCUCUUUUUGUUCAAAACCAAUACUUCACAGAGGACAUAUACCUG
rnacentral:lncRNA from 1 species